UACGUAGGGGGCGAGCGUUGUCCGGAAUUAUUGGGCGUAAAGCGCGCGCAGGCGGCAGCUUAAGUCUCAUGUUUAAACCCGGGGCUCAACCUCGGGUCGCAUGGGAAACUGGGUUGCUUGAGUGCAGGAGAGGAAAGCGGAAUUCCACGUGUAGCGGUGAAAUGCGUAGAGAUGUGGAGGAACACCAGUGGCGAAGGCGGCUUUCUGGUCUGUAACUGACGCUGAGGCGCGAAAGCGUGGGGAGCAAACAGG
rnacentral:rRNA from 1 species